GCACAAGCGGUGGAUGAUGUGGAUUAAUUCGAUGCAACGCGAAAACCUUACCACCUUUGACAUGUACGGAAGUUGCCAGAGAUGGCUUCGUGCUCGAAAGAGAGCCGUAACACAGGUGCUGCAUGGCUGUCGUCAGCUCGUGUCGUGAGAUGUUGGGUUAAGUCCCGCAACGAGCGCAACCCUUGUCAUUAGUUGCUACGAAAGGGCACUCUAAUGAGACUGCCGGUGACAAACCGGAGGAAAGGUGGGGAUGACGUCAAGUCCUCAUGGCCCUUAUAGGUGGGGCUACACACGUCAUACAAUGGCUGGUACAAAGGGUUGCCAACCCGCGAGGGGGAGCCAAUCCCAUAAAGCCAGUCGCAGUCCGGAUCGCAGUCUGCAACUCGACUGCGUGAAGUCGGAAUCGCUAGUAAUCGUGGAUCAGCAUGUCACGGUGAAUACGUUCCCGGGUCUU
rnacentral:rRNA from 1 species